ensembl:lncRNA
AUGCAUUACUUCCCCAUGAAGAUGGAUAUGAUAAACACUGCUGUGGGUUCAUUCAAGGGAAAGCACCUCUUCCUCCCAGGUUUGCCUCUUCUGCCAUGCCCACUCCCUUGUGGCUACAGUGGCCCUGUAAUUGGACCUGACUUGGACCUGACUUCAGGAGCUCCUGAAAUAUCACUGGCAGGUGCCACAAGAGGUGAGCAUGAUCCCAGCCAUCACAAGGGUAUUCUGCUGAAGAAAUCUUAGGCAAUGACAGUGCACAUGGUAGGAGCCCUGAUUAUGUCUUGGACAUACGUAAAUCACUACAGAGCAGUUUUAUUAAGACUGCUUAUUAUAAGAAGCUUUAUUAAGACAGUUUUAUUAAGGAACUGAUGAUUAAGUAAGUCUCAUCACUAUCUCAAAGGCCAUGAUGAAGGGGUCACCCACAUGCUCACAGACCAAGGUGACACCGGGAGAAAUGAUCAAAAACAGAGUGUAAAUCAUGCCAUGGACAAAAAUUGCUUUCAUUGCUAGUUAGUAUUACCACACUAGCUAGGAGUACCUUCCCAGGCUUCUGCAGGCUCCAUACCACCUGCCAACAGCAACCAUGAAGCAACAAGGGGAAGCACCAGGACAGGAAAGGGGAGCUUCAUCUAACUGUGGCUGGAAGUGAGAGCUGACUCCUGCCAGCAGAGAGACAAAUGUGAGUAUAUUUGAACCUGAAACUCUGAGAAAUGACUGCCAAUAAACCUGGCUGAAUGAAGAGCA